UGGGGAAUUUUGGACAAUGGGCGAAAGCCUGAUCCAGCAAUGCCGCGUGUGUGAAGAAGGCCUUCGGGUUGUAAAGCACUUUUGUCCGGAAAGAAAUCCUUGGCUCUAAUACAGUCGGGGGAUGACGGUACCGGAAGAAUAAGCACCGGCUAACUACGUGCCAGCAGCCGCGGUAAUACGUAGGGUGCAAGCGUUAAUCGGAAUUACUGGGCGUAAAGCGUGCGCAGGCGGUUUGCUAAGACCGAUGUGAAAUCCCCGGGCUCAACCUGGGAACUGCAUUGGUGACUGGCAGGCUAGAGUAUGGCAGAGGGGGGUAGAAUUCCACGUGUAGCAGUGAAAUGCGUAGAGAUGUGGAGGAAUACCGAUGGCGAAGGCAGCCCCCUGGGCCAAUGCUGACGCUCAUGCACGAAAGCGUGGGGAGCAAACAGGAUUAGAUACCCUGGUAGUCCACGCCCUAAACGAUGUCAACUAGUUGUUGGGGAUUCAUUUCCUUAGUAACGUAGCUAACGCGUGAAGUUGACCGCCUGGGGAGUACGGUCGCAAGAUU
rnacentral:rRNA from 1 species